UAGGGAAUCUUUGGCAAUGGACGAAAGUCUGACCGAGCAACGCCGCGUGAGUGAAGAAGGUUUUCGGAUCGUAAAACUCUGUUGGUAGAGAAGAACGUUGGUGAGAGUGGAAAGCUCAUCAAGUGACGGUAACUACCCAGAAAGGGACGGCUAACUACGUGCCAG
rnacentral:rRNA from 1 species